rnacentral:rRNA from 1 species
UCUAUGUCGGCGACCGGCGCACGGGUGCGUAACGCGUAUGCAACCUACCCAUUACAGGGGGAUAACACUGAGAAAUCGGUACUAAUACCCCAUAACAUCCAGGGAGGCAUCUUCUUGGGUUGAAAACUCCGGUGGUAAUGGAUGGGCAUGCGUUGUAUUAGUUAGUUGGUGGGGUAACGGCUCACCAAGACAACGAUACAUAGGGGGACUGAGAGGUUAACCCCCCCACAUUGGUACUGAGACACGGACCAAACUCCUACGGGAGGCAGCAG